CGUGCCCAAACUUGACCCCCACAGGGGCAGGGGCAUCCAGCUAGGGCCCACAGUGAGCGAAGCUGCCCAGGGAGGCGUGGCCCCCAUCACCUGCCCAGGCCCGCGGGAGCAGGCCCGGAAGUCCCCAGGUCCCCAGCCAGCUCUGUGGGACCUAACUUAAGCGAGCACAGGAGUCCCCUGUUCUUUGUUCGCCGCCCCUCCUCGUUUCUGCUCUCAAACCUUGCUGCCAGCAGCCCCCGCCAGCGCACCCAACCUACAGGAAAGUUGCUCCGGAGCGGUGGAGGGGCGUCAUCGCCUCCUAGCAACGCUCCUAGCAACCGGGUAACAUCUGCUCCCUCUGGUCCAAUGCGAGCCGAGAGCAGCUGCGCGCCCGCCUCGCGUUCCGAACCCGGAGCGAGAGGCGCUUCAGAGACUGGAGGGACGGAUCCGCAGGAGCCAGGGCUGCCCGCCGAGCUGCAGUUGCCGCCGCUGCCGCUGUCGCUGCCGCUGUCGCGCCGCCACCGCCGUCGCUGUCGCUGUCAGUGCCCGUCUGAAGAGUGACACGCCGCAAAAGCAGGAGGGAGCAUCGAACCCCGCGCCUUUACGAAACAGGUGCAUGCGCUGAUCUCUUGGCGAGGGAACCCAGCUCGCAAGCUUAUCCAACAAAAGUAUUAACAUAUACAUUAACAACGUCGAAAGUAGCCUACUUUAAGAGAAAAUAUGCAGAAGAAGAAGAUUUACAUCAAGAUUACCAUGGGUAUUUUCCAAAACACCUGAUAUUGCCUGAGGACAGGACUUGCAUUCUCAAACUUUCUCUGGAGAAGCUCAGGUUUCUUGAAGACCCAGAAACCUACUUAAGAAGGUCUGUGUUAAUUAACAAUUUGCUGCGGAAGAUCCAUCUAGAGACGGAGAAAGAGAGCUAUGAAUACUUUAAGGAAGCUCCCUGUUAUAAGACUGCUUAUUCUGAUACAAGAAAACGGCUGAAGGUUAUGGUACAGGAAUGCUGCUCUCAGUCUCUCUAUUACGAAGAGCUGCAUUCAUAUCGUAUUGUGCCUUAUGCUUCGGAGAAUGCCAUUUACGGAAUGGGCUACACUCGCAGCCAUUUGGAGCAAAAUUCUCAGUUGCUUAUUUAUAAAAUGAAUUAAAGUAACUGUUAAGUCCAUUGAUACUUUGUUUCUAAAUGCCUGAACUGUUCAUAGUGAAGAUGUUAAAAUAAGGCACUAAUUCCCAGUGUGCUUGAGAUCAAAGAUGAGAUGCAUGCGGAACUGACUGGAGAGAGCCCUGGUUGUUACUCAGCAGUCCUUGUAUCAGCAAGUCAAACUGAAAAUAUGUCCACACAGUAUAAGGCAGCGAAUAAGUACUUUAGAAGCAAAACCUUUUUUUUUUUUUUUUUUUUUUAAGAUAAGCUAUGUAGGAAGGGACCAAUAGCAAGUUCUUAUACAGAUUUAAACAUUUCAAGCCCCUUAUUUUCAGAUUCUGCCACUCUUAGUAGAAAGUAACAGAUUAAGCUCAUAAUGUCAUGUCCCUGAAGGUUGAGGGUGGAAUGAAUUUAAUUUUCUGUAAAUGACGAGAAGGGAAGGUUCUUGCUGAAAUGCUUUGGCUUGUCAAGCACUGUGCCAAAUAAUUGUUUGAUGCCGUUCUCCUUUUACUGUUAGUAACAGUUCAAGAUGGGGCAAAGCUAUUGCAGCGGAGCUGCUGAAUGUAACAACCAGAUAACUCCAAACUGAUCCAUUUUACUUUUUUUUUUUUUUUUUUUGGCUUGAUAGACUUUUCUCUUUACAAGUGAAAUUUAAUAGAAUAGCCUCAUGGCUGGGCUUAUCUCUUAAGUUCUAGGGGUCGGUUACAAUUUGUGGUGGGCCUUUAGUUAAGAGUUUGAACUUUAUUUAUGAUGUCAUUGUUAUAGGCUGUGAAGCUCAGGAAAAGGGUAGGCAGGCAAAAUUUGUUUUUAAUAGGUUGAUAGUUAAAAAAAAUCUUAUCUGCAGAAAUUGAUGAGAACAACAGAAAUUCUACGUGAUGUUAUUUCUUCAUCAAAGAGUGCAUUUAAGGCUGCCUGGAUGAAACUUUGCACUGAUUUUUGUAUAAUAGUUGACCACUCACUAUUUGACAAAAUGUUUCAGAAUGCCUUUGGUGGUGAAGCUUAGAUAAGUCCAUAUAUUUUGCAAUUUGAAAGAUGAUGAUUUAACAAGUUGGAUAGAUUCCUGGAGUUGUUUGAAGUGCUUUGUGAUGUCCUUUGAGGUUUGAAUGAGAUGUCUGAUUUCGAUGUGCAGAGUGAUGUCCGAUGGAGCGUAUCAUUUAAAGAGUUGUCAUUAACUGAUGAAACAGAUUGGGAAAACUAGGUGCCAAAGAAAAUACCAAAGACCCAAAGAUAAGUGUUAGAGAGACCGUGGUAAUGAAGAGAAGAAUCUAAAAUAAGGAUUGCGCAGGACAUAGAAGAACAUUGUUAAAGGGUUUUGGAACCAUUUGCUUACUAAUGUGCUUUCAGAGCGCUUUGUGCAUAGUAGUGAUAAUCACGGACACUGCUUUAAAUGAAGAUGUCAUAGGCCUUCAGUGAUCAUAUGUUUUCACAAAUUUGAAUGUGGUGACUUGUCAAUGUUGUAUCUUCCCUAGUCGAACACCAUCUUGUAACCAAGAAGCCUUUUUCUCUUCAAGCGAGUUCUGUUUUUUGUUUUGAUUCACUACUUGCUCUCUCUAAUGAAGCAUUGGGGUGAUUACAAGCAUGCUUCUGGUAUAAAGGAUAUUGGUGCCCGAAUUAGCAUGUGUUGUUGGAGGCCGCAUAGAUAUAUAACUGAUCAAAGUAGCAGGUUUACAUUGAAUCGCUCAAUUAGAAUUAGGAAAAAACGCUUUACGGCCAACUGAAAAAUUAUAAUUGAGGCUAGUUUUUAAAAGCAAUUUAGUAUGAAUUGUGGGAUAUAUUUUAAAUACAAAUAUGAAUACCGAAAAAUUAAUUUAAGGGCAAAAUUUGGCACCAAAGUUCAAAACUUUGUUUCACUAUUUAUAAAAUACCUUAUUUCUCAGAACACUUUUUUAAAAAUAUAGAUUUCUUAAACAAUGGCGUUGCUAAUUGAAUAAGCUCCAGAUCUGAUAAUUAUACUAUCAUAUAAUUUAAAAAACAGAAUGAUCUCUCUAAUAGUUUUACAUUUUUUUCUGAAAGGAACAUCUGGUUUGGUUUAGGAUAGUGUCUAUAAGAAAAGCACACCAGUGCCAGUUGACAUGACUUACAAAAAUGCCACAUAUUGAAAUUAUUUGAGGAUAGAAAUGCACAUACUUUGGAAUAGAAAAAAGAGGGAGAGAAAAAAAUUACCAGGAAAGUGUAAAAUUGUAAUAUUUCUUGUACGCCAGAAAUCUUAAAGCAAGAACUCUUGGGCAAUGAACCAGUGACAGAUGUAAAGUCUGUUUUAUUUGGUGACGUGGUUAAUUGAGCUCUCUGAUCUAUACAUUCAUAUGUAGAGAAGCAACUGUCUUAGAAACCAGCGGUACUUUUGAAUAUGCUGUUUUAAAAAAAAUAUGUGUUGAUUUCAAAACAAAUUAUUUAAAAAAUAUCUUUUAGAGCAUUUAAUUUCUUUACCAAUAAACAAUUCAUAGAUAAGUAGUUGACUAAUGUUAUUUUGACUUUUUAAAAAAUAAUAAUGUCUAUUUAAGCUACGUAAAUGUUUCUGAGUUAAGCGAUAAGAUUGCUGUCAUUUUACCAUGGCAAAUUCAUAUACUGGGACACCCUGUAUAGACCUGCUCUGCUGACCCCAUCCCACAUGCUCUAUUAUGGGACAGGCAAAGGGAGGAGACCAGUUAUA